rnacentral:rRNA from 1 species
CCUACGGGAGGCAGCAGUGGGGAAUCUUGCGCAAUGGGCGAAAGCCUGACGCAGCCAUGCCGCGUGAAUGAUGAAGGUCUUAGGAUUGUAAAAUUCUUUCACCGGGGACGAUAAUGACGGUACCCGGAGAAGAAGCCCCGGCUAACUUCGUGCCAGCAGCCGCGGUAAUACGAAGGGGGCUAGCGUUGCUCGGAAUUACUGGGCGUAAAGGGAGCGUAGGCGGAUAGUUUAGUCAGAGGUGAAAGCCCAGGGCUCAACCUUGGAAUUGCCUUUGAUACUGGCUAUCUUGAGUGUGGGAGAGGUAUGUGGAACUCCGAGUGUAGAGGUGAAAUUCGUAGAUAUUCGGAAGAACACCAGUGGCGAAGGCGACAUACUGGCCCAUUACUGACGCUGAGGCUCGAAAAGCGUGGGGAGCAAACAGGAUUAGAUACCCUGGUAGUCCACGCUGUAAAACGAUAGAGUGCUAGUUGUCGGCGAUGCAUGCAUGUUCGGGUUGGUACGCGACGACUAACCGACAAUUAAGUACGACCUCCGCCGUCGGGGAGGGUACGGUCGGCGAAGAAGUUAAAACUUAACAAAUAGUUAAGUUAGUACGGCGUUGAGACGNGCCGAACGGACGACCGACGAAGGGGAAGGUUAGG